CUACGGGUGGCAGCAGUGGGGAAUAUUGGACAAUGGGGGAAACCCUGAUCCAGCAAUGCCGCGUGUGUGAAGAAGGCCUGCGGGUUGUAAAGCCCUUUCGGUUGGGAGGACUGCUUCUAGCACUAAUAUUGUUGGAAGUUGACGUUACCUUCAGAAGAAGCACCGGCUAACUCCGUGCCAGCAGCCGCGGUAAUACGGAGGGUGCAAGCGUGAAUCGGAAUUACUGGGCGUAAAGCGCGCGUAGGCGGCUAGGUCAGUCGGGUGUGAAAGCCCCGGGCUUAACCUGGGAACUGCAUCCGAUACUGUCUAGCUUGAGUACAGGAGAGGAGAGUGGAAUUCCACAUGUAGCGGUGAAAUGCGUAGAUAUGUGGAGGAACACCAAUGGCGAAGGCAGCUCUCUGGCCUGAUACUGACGCUGAGGUGCGAAAGCGUGGGGAGCAAACAGGAUUAGAUACCCGUGUAGUC
rnacentral:rRNA from 1 species